UGGUCAAAUAUCACCGUCUAC
rnacentral:miRNA from 1 species